AGGGUGCAAGGACACACACAAAGCCUGAGUCCCUUAUGCGUGUCUACAUGCCUAAUAUGUAUUAAGCAAAGAAAAAAACCAGACUACUAAGUUUUUCUGACAAGAAGAUGAUAACUGAGAAUUCUACAAGCUUGAAAUAUUACUAUGACUUCCCUGGAAUAUGAAGAUAAAAUCUAAUCCCUGGAAGAAUACAGUGAAACACGUAAGGAGCAACACAACUGUUGAUGCUGUGCUUGAAAAAGUUAUUUCAACCGCAAUUAGACAAUGAGUUGUCUUUCUCCCAGGACCAUGGACAGCACAAGGGUGACGCGAGCAUGAUUAUUAAAGCAUGUCUGGCUUUCUUCUCAGCUCUACUGCAAGUUAGUCAGUCAUGGCUACAAAGAAGUGUGUUGGGUUGCCUCUUGACCUUCAGUUGUUUACUGUAAUUUACAGUAAUAAAACAUAAACAUAUUUACAUAUAACGUAAAUUAAUUUAUUUUGUGUCACGUGACUUGAC
rnacentral:lncRNA from 1 species